rnacentral:misc_RNA from 1 species
GAUGAAGAACGCAGCGAAGUGCGAUAAGUAGUGUGAAUUGCAGAAUUCCGUGAAUCAUCGAAUCUUUGAACGCAAAUUGCACUCCCUGGCAUCCCGGGGAGUAUGCCUGUUUGAGGGUCAGUAAAUUUAAAAUCGGUGCGUUGCAAUUUUUUUGUAACGUUUCCGGAGUUUGGGUUAUCUUAGCUUUGAGGUUAAGAGGCUUAAAAUUGACGUCAUUUCGCGCACUUUUAGACGUACAUAAAUUAAUUUUUAUUCGUCUAACCUGGUGCCGAAGGUUAUUAGAUGUGAUCAUGUUUCGUGGUCUCGUGUCUAUAAUUUUAUCAUGAUUUGACCUCAAAUCAGGUAGGAAUACCCGCUGAACUUAAGCAUAUCAAUAAGCGGAGGA